GCGUUCUGAUUGGGCGGGGCGGCACGGCGUAGCGUGGUUUAAAAAUACAAAGGGAGGCAGGAGGGCGCUGAGAGGAAUCGGUCGGGGGCGGCGGGCGGCCUGCGGCGGCGCCGCAGACCGCCGCCGCAGACCGCCGCCGCCCCCCCUGGGGCUUCAUCGAGCAUCGUUUUGAGCUUUGAAAAUGCCUGUUUCUUGGAAAGUGCUGUUUUGUUUGGUGAAUUGAGCUGCCAGCCAGUUCAUGGAAAAAAAAUACUUUGGAACAGUCUUUGGAAAUUAUGGGAUAUGACUGCAGAGGGACUUCCCCUGUUGCAUCUGUUUUCAUCUCUGCUGUAAGAAUGUGAAGAAAGUGAUUGUGGAAGAGCAGGUAGGGUGAGAAAGUGUAAUUACUGCUAUGGGAAAAAAAUGAGAACUGCCUUUUGAAUGAUUUAAUCAAAUGUUUUAAGAAAGACAAGUAAUUUGCUCUUUGUUCCUUUAAAGAGAUUAUUUUCCUACAUUCUCUUCUCUGAAAAAAGAAAGCUUUUUGUACAAUGAAAUGUGGGCAGUGAGGGUUAUGUCGUGCGACGCAGGGCAGCGUAAGGGACCAAACAGUUGUGGUCUGUAACAUCUGUCUGCCCUCCGACAAGGAAGGCAGUAUGGAAGAUUUUCCACGCUUGAAGGCGAUGCUGGCAGCUUUUCCAGCAAGCUGAGAGAGUUGUCCUCGCGCCUGGAAAAGCCCUUCUUCUCCCUGUGCCUGGAAAAGUCCUUCUUCUCCCUACGCCUGAUGCCACAACGAGCUGCCAC
rnacentral:lncRNA from 1 species